AAAUUGAAGAGUUUGAUCAUGGCUCAGAUUGAACGCUGGCGGCAGGCCUAACACAUGCAAGUCGAACGGUAACAGGAAGCAGCUUGCUGCUUUGCUGACGAGUGGCGGACGGGUGAGUAAUGUCUGGGAAACUGCCUGAUGGAGGGGGAUAACUACUGGAAACGGAGGCUAAUACCGCAUAACGUCGCAAGACCAAAGAGGGAGACCUUCGGGCCUCUUGCCAUCAGAUGUGCCCAGAUGGGAUUAGCUUGGUGGUGAGGUAACGGCUCACCAAGGCGAAGAGACCUAACUG
rnacentral:rRNA from 1 species